AAUGAAAUGGCUGAGUGGAAAUAGGCAUUAGAUUGUAAAUCUAAGUACGGGAGAACAUCUCUUUCAUUA
rnacentral:tRNA from 1 species